rnacentral:lncRNA from 1 species
CGUAGAACCAGCUGGGAAGGAUACAAGCCCAGUGGUGUCAGUGAUAGCGGCUAACUGCAGCAACGUCCUCGCAGGCCGAUGCGCUGUACCUGAACCGGGUGUGGCCAAACUGAUCUUCCUGCCACCAAAGCCUGCAGGCUGUUCCCACUGCAGUGAAGACGUGCGGCGGUGAGCCUGCCUCUCCUGCCUGCGUUGGGAGGUGAGGUUCGGAUGUGAUCAACAGCGACCUCUAGCGUGAGCCUGAGACUUUGCAUUUGGUUAAGCGUACAGAAGGAAAAUAGCAGACAUGGGAAUUCUGAUCAAAUUUCCAACGAACAAAGGCGAGGAAUUAUUGAGAUUGCAUUAUGCCAAGGAUAUGGAGAGUGCAACAGAGAAUGAGACGUGGACUGCC